rnacentral:rRNA from 1 species
GACGAACGCUGGCGGCGCGCCUCAUACAUGCAAGUCGAACGAGAAGCCCGGGCUUGCCCGGGUGGAGAGUGGCGAACGGGUGAGGAACACGUGAGGAACCUGCCCCGAAGACUGGGAUAACACCGGGAAACCGGUGCUAAUACCGGAUGCCCUCAUCGGAUCUCAUGUUCCGAUGAGGAAAUGGAUUCCGCUUCGGGAUGGCCUCGCGGCCUAUCAGCUUGUUGGUGGGGUAACGGCCCACCAAGGCUUCGACGGGUAGCUGGUCUGAGAGGAUGUCAAGCCACACUGGGACUGAGACACGGCCCAGACUCCUACGGGAGGCAGCAGUAGGGAAUCUUGCGCAAUGAGCGAAAGCUUGACGCAGCGACGCCGCGUGCGGGAUGAAGGCCCUCGGGUCGUAAACCGCUUUCAGCAGGGACGAAACUGACGGUACCUGCAGAAGAAGGCCCGGCCAACUACGUGCCAGCCGCCGCCGUAACAC